AGUGAACGCUGGCGGUAGGCCUAACACAUGCAAGUCGAACGGCAGCACAGAGGAGCUUGCUCCCUGGGUGGCGAGUGGCGGACGGGUGAGGAAUACAUCGGAAUCUACUCUGUCGUGGGGGAUAACGUAGGGAAACUUACGCUAAUAACGCAUACGACCUACGGGUGAAAGCAGGGGACCUUCGGGCCUUGCGCGAUUGAAUGAGCCGAUGUCGGAUUAGCUAGUUGGCGGGGUAAAGGCCCACCAAGGCGACGAUCCGUAGCUGGUCUGAGAGGAUGAGCAGCCACACUGGAACUGAGACACGGUCCAGACUCCUACGGGAGGCAGCAGUGGGGAAUAUUGAACAGUGGGCGCAAGCCUGAUCCAGCCAUACCGCGUGGGUGAAGAAGGCCUUCGGGUUGUAAAGUCCUUUUGUUGGGAAAGAAAUCCAGCUGGCUAAUACCCGGGUGGGAUGACGGUACCCAAAGAAUAAGCACCGGCUAACUUCGUGCCAGCCGCCGCGGUAA
rnacentral:rRNA from 1 species